AGCGGGACUGGAACCUAGUACACUUCGGCAGUUGAGAAAUGACUUACCAGGACAAAUACUGCUUCUGGCUCGAUGGUGCUGCCCAUGAACAUCCGCCGGCUCUGAGAAACGAGCUGCACUGUCAGUGAGAAACCGUGGGCACUGAGAAACGAGCGGACUGCAACUGAUAACUGCCCACCCAGUGCCACUACGACAAAGUGCUGCUGGCACUACUCCCACCCUCCGUCCUCAAAUCAGUCCCCUCCCGCCUAAGAAGACCUUUAUUUUUCCUAGCGAAGUCAUACUGAGGGCCCCAUCAACCGAUCCCUUGCGAUGCGCAUGGGAAAAGGAGGCAGUAUAGGGACCGAGAAUCGGGCGGAUUGGGCUGGCCCUGGUAACAAAAGCCAUCCGGGUCGCCAACCGUCUUCCACUGCAAGAAACAAACCUUCCAGUGGCUGGGCUCCGCCCUUCUCCUUGGUCAGAGCCCUCCAGGCUCCUAAGGGCGAAGCCGACACCUCAUCCCUUUGGAACUUGAAGUUCUCAGUCCAAGACCUCCGUGGAGAGUGAAAGACUCAAUGCCUCCUGACCGAGGCUUCAGGCCUGCCCCGGCAGCUAGGUACCUCUCCAGGGGAUGGAACUCUGUGGGAACUGCUAUUUAAUUCUGAUGGUUAACUCUGUCAGAUGGCCUUGAUAUAUGGGAAUAAUCGUUGCAGGAGGGUAGGGGAAAUAAGAAUCGCAAGACUCUAGCACAGGACGUGUGGAUUGAUGGAAACCUGAAACUGCCAUUGAGCAGAAGGAAAACAUCCCUUUCCAGAACCUUUCUCGUUUUUCUAAAAAUCUGCACUUUUGGAAGUGAUCCCCCAAAGAGACCUCCAGACUCUACCAUGAGUGUCUCCAGCUGAACUCAUCGUGUCUAAUCCUCACCCUAGCUUAUCCUGUUCAAAUCAUUUCCAUCUUUUUCUGGAUGAACCUGGGCGGAUGUCAGACCAGAGAAGAGCACAGAAUGUACCAGAGAGACAGAGUCUUGCUCUG
rnacentral:lncRNA from 1 species